UACUUCCCAGUGGGGGUAAGUAAGCAGAUAAUUACAAAGAGGCUAGACCCUAGGCCUUCUUUCUAACUGGUCUCCUGGCUUCCAUUUAUUUCCUCCGUUCCAAUCCAUGUCGCUUGCUCUGCCCAGUUGACAUUCCUAAGGUACAGUGACAGUUCUGCCAGGUCCCUUCAUUAGCUCUUCAUUGCUAAUGUAAGUCCUCAACAUGUUCUUAUGGUGUUCACAAAAUGCCCCAGACUGCUUCUCCAGAUACCCUCCAUGGUUCGCCCCAUCUUGCCCUUCACUGCAGCUCAUCCACCAGUUGGAAUAUCCUGCCUCUGUCUUUCUUCUUAUAGUUACCUCUCCCAUCACUUCUAUCUGUAAAAACCUUAACAAUGGGUCUAUUUGCCUAUAGACCCCCAACCUAUAUACCUCCCAACCCUAGAAGGUAUAACUCUUUCCUCCAAUAGAGCUUCAAACUGUCUUAUCAUCUUCCCGAUACUCAGAAAACGGAUGGUUUGAUGAGCAACCACAUCUGUUGGAGAUGCAGAGAGCUGCAGCGUCACUCUGCCUUCUGGGAUUAACAAGCAAACCCUGAGAGCCAGCAGCAGCAGCAACUAGGGUUCCGUGGGAGAGACAGCAGUCCAGAGCAGUCAGGGGCACCUUGGAGUCAUGGAAUAAGAAUGCAGAUGGAACCAAAGCCAGCUACACUCAGUAAGGGCCAUCGCCAGUGUCAUGAUGCGGAGAGCACAGUGUGUGGCCUCUAGAGUCGCUGGCUUGGGGCAUGCACAGCGAACUGCACCAAGUCCUCGGAAGCAAUCUGUUUGCACCUCCGCCACCAAAGUUUCCCGGUUUCCCUCAGUCGCGCAUAAAGGCUAUCGCCUUUCAACUCCCUGGACAUGUUAUUUUUACAUCUGCUGUGCCAGUUGCUACCUGGUGAACCCCCUCUAAACCUUGGAGUUAAACUCUCGGGUCUGAGAGAUGCUUGAUCUCGUGAGAGAGCCUAAGGACAGGUGAGAACCAGCAUUAAUUCUGUGAGCUACUGGCUGUUUCUUGGGAGCGCUUUGUUUUGACUUGAGGCACUCUGCAUGGCCAGGGACCUCUCUGAAUGACACAGCUUUAGUUCUUUUUUGCUGUUAACAAACCAGGCUACUUGCUGACAAACAGCUCCGCUGCCCUCACCACUGUCAUCCCAGGGGCCAGCGAGGCUUGCUCCGACUGGCCUGAGGUAUCUUGUGCUUUCUCUCUCCACCUGCAGUGUUUCUAGUAGAGGCCUCAGCACAUCACUGCCCAUUUUUUCAUCCUCAGUCUUCUUUCCCUUCAGGAAUCAGCAUGAUCAGAAGAGCCCCCGUUAGGAAGAAACAUGCUGAA
rnacentral:lncRNA from 1 species